rfam:Cryomorphaceae bacterium BACL11 MAG-121001-bin54 contig01611_1_121001-bin54, whole genome shotgun sequence.
ACUAAAGUGGAAAGAUUUGGCCUAUUGCAACCACUAAAAAAAAUGC